rnacentral:rRNA from 1 species
GACGAACGCUGGCGGCGUGCUUAACACAUGCAAGUCGAGCGGUAAGGCCUUUCGGGGUACACGAGCGGCGAACGGGUGAGUAACACGGGGGUGAUCUGCCCUGCACUUCGGUAUAAGCCUGGGAAACUGGGUCUAAUACCAGAUAUGACCUCCUAUCGCAUGGUGGGUGGUGGAAAGAUUUAUCGGUGCAGGAUGGGCCCGCGGCCUAUCAGCUUGUUGGUGGGGUAAUGGCCUACCAAGGCGACGACGGGUAGCCGACCUGAGAGGGUGACCGGCCACACUGGGACUGAGACACGGCCCAGACUCCUACGGGAGGCAGCAGUGGGGAAUAUUGCACAAUGGGCGAAAGCCUGAUGCAGCGACGCCGCGUGAGGGAUGACGGCCUUCGGGUUGUAAACCUCUUUCAGUAGGGACGAAGCGCAAGUGACGGUACCUGCAGAAGAAGCACCGGCUAACUACGUG